GUAUUCUGCACGGGCUGCUGGGCAGGCACUAGCAAGCGGGAGAUGGUCUGCCUCUGCUAGAGCCUCGCUAGUGGGAAUCCCUACUGACAGCCCUGCUUCGCACUGCAGAGGGGGGAAGCAGAACCUUGUCUGCUCGUUGACGAGGGACAGAGCUUUGAUCGCUCUUCUCCAGCCCUGACUUGGCCUGAGGUUUAGCCCCAGUCCCGAAGUCCGCGGGCUCUCCUCACUCCCGCACGCACCCACUCGCACACACCCCUUUGCCAGCAGAUCCGUGUCACAGCUGUAACUGAGGCACACAGCAAUAAACAUAGCAGAACCAAUCUCCAUGGUGGCAAGAGGGGGCACUGGAGGUGACAACAAUGGAGAAGGAUCUUUCUGCUGACAAGUUUUAGGUUUUGCUGACAGAGGCCCAGAGUCGCCAGAGGCCAUCCUCGGCUCACCACACGCCAUCUUUCUGCAGAUGGUUGGGGCUGGUGGGGCGAUCGCUGCCGCUCCAACAUGGCCUGCACCUCGAGGGACUCCACACCAAGCACUGCAGGCCUCCGGGCUGAGACACAGGUGUGUGAUAGCACAGGGAAUGUGACGUGCUAUUGAUUUUAUGAUAAUGUUUGACACGUAGAGUGGGGGUCACAUUCUGGUGUCAAUUACCCUUAAGACGUGCACCAUGCUACAAAAUGAAUGGCAAUGCUUACCUUCCGUGGAGCAUGCGGUCUGCUAAUACACAUAGUUUUAAUUUGAAGAUUUUGAAAUUUUAGACCAUCUCUUCCUCUUGCCUUGCAGAAUGGCCCCAAAUGAUUAUUAAAGUUAUAAUAUAAAGGUAAUUGUUCUGCUUUGUGUUGCUUUUUGUGGGAGUCUCAGGAUAAGAAUAAAUGUCCAGGCUGACCAGCAAGGCUGAAUGUUUAAAUCCAAUCUCUCCAUUCUGUGGCACCUUGCGAAAACUCCCUCAGCCUCUCUGAUGACUUUUUAGUGAAGGCCUAGUUUCAGACAGUAUGUAUAGAAAACACUAGUAAAUAAGUUCACCAGUUCUGAUAAACAAUUAGUAAUUGACCGCAAUCAGACAAGUUCUGAUAAAAUGCAAGUCAGGGCAUAUACAUUUAUUUACGAAUUCCAAUAUGUUUGUUCAGUUUUGAUUUCUAAGCUCUUAGGUUUGCACUCUGGUACAAGGUGAAGAUUUUAUUUGUAGUUUUAUUCUCAGUGAAAACUUCAUGCCUCAUAUCUACAGACUGAAAUCCUCUAUUAUUUUAGCCAAAUAAUGGUACAUAGGGAAAAAGGCAUCCCCACUCUACUCUGUCAGUGUAUAAAGUUUGAUGCUGUGAGAACACUCUGAGAUUUGCAGAGUCUGCUACUGAAAUGACAACUGUAAGCUUCACUGUGAAGAAUGCUGUCUGUGUAGAUAAACAUCUCAUUAACAUAUUUUAUUGCCUGACAGAUAAUUCACAUUACAUGAAAUAAUUUGAUUGUUGUUUUUCUGAACUUGGAGGUAGGACUGGAAGAGUCCAGGGCAUAAGAUUUCCAUGGUGACUGAGAUAAACCAGCUGUAGGAGUUGAGCACAACCCCAUGCCUAUAGCUGAACCUGUCUGGGAUGAGACUAACUCUCACUGAAAUUUCUCUGGAGCUAUCUCUUCCUGCCAGUCUUUUCCUUGUUAUAGAUGUAAAAAUAAUAAUAAUAUUAAAUAUAUAUAUAUAUAAAAUAACAAACAAAAAAAUCAAAGCCAACAAACCAACCGAAAAACACAAACCUCAACUAAUGUUCCGAGUUUUAGGACAGGAAGUGUGCUAUUUUCAUAAAAACAAAUAUGUUUUUAGAAACAAAUCCUUUCCUUUGGCUGGAAAAAUGAUGCUGUACUUCUCACUUUCAGUUUGCCUUGUGAGCUAUGGAAACACAAAAAUGUAUGUUGUACUAUGAUGGUGUAUUGUGCGUUUUAACCUUAAAGGAGUGGCUUAGUCCAGCCGCUCUAGAGUAACCAAGAACUGUAGAGAUACCAAAUUUGCAGAUUAAUAUAUACUAAUUCUUUUUAGACGAUUCAGAAAUGCUGGCUUGUUCUCUUAAACUCAAAUGGGAGCUACUUCCUGGUGUUUUUCUCAAGUUUUGAGCAGGUGAUACAGUCCUGGCUUAAACAACACAGAUGUUUGUCAAACAUCUCAUUAUAUUCUUUUCUAUUACUGCAUAUUGAUUUAUAUAAGUGACUGUUCUGGCUCCUUUAAUGACUACUUCCUUUUCUUGCUGUGUUGUCUUGCAAGGGAUCACAGGUUGACUACCCAGCCACUUCAGUGAUAUUAGUAAAGGGCUAGAGAUACACUGAAAUAUCUAUUUCUAUAAUGAAAUAUCUCCAAACAAUGUUAAAAAAAAAGAAAAAGAAAAAAAAAAAGGAAAAG